UUGUCUCACUAACCGAAUUCUCAUUCUAUUGCUAUGAUUAGUAUCCUGUACCAUAUGUUAGCUUGUGACUUAAAUAAUCCUUCCUUGUACACCUGUUACCAAGAAAUUGUGUACAUGCAAGAAAAGAAACUCUAAAGGAGUGUUGUGUAACAUUACAAAGAACGCAAAUAUCAAAAAGAAGGAUAAUGGACAAACAAGUAUUAAAAAGUAGCUUUUUAAACAGUAUGCUCUGCUUUCUACCUUCUUAAUCAUCCUUGCUAUAACUCAAUUUGUACAAAUUCCAUAAUGUUGCAAAUAAUUGAAACUCGUUGCAUCGAGCAUACAUACAAUAUUUACACUGUUAUCCAUGCUACUAGAUAAACGUUACAAACCAUGCAUAUACAAUACUAAAGAACAGCGUAUAAAAUUAAUAAAAUAGUUCUUACUAUCAGCAACAAUUAUUAUUUGGCUACAUCAUUCUGCCUCCCCGACUGCUUGCAAAGGAAACAAAAAAAAGAAAGGUGGAUUAAACACAGGUUUGCGAGAAAGAGGAUAUCUAUUGUGAUCUUGGAAAAUCUACCUAGUAUAACGAACGUUAAAAUAUAAUACAAAAAUCAUAUAAUUUUCAAAAUGGAUGAAAUAGUUUGUUUGUUCUUCGUUUGUAGGAAAAAGAAACCUAUUUAGGAAUUGAUACCGUUUCCCCAUUGAAUAAUUCAAAUAACAAAAAACAUAUAUAAUUUUUGAAUAAGUAUACUGUACAUACGAAAAUAAGGAUUAAUUUAAAAGACAAGAAAACUGGUAUUUUUGGAUAAACAGACAACGCACAAAACUAAGGGAAAU
rnacentral:misc_RNA from 1 species